GAUGAACGCUGGCGGCGUGCCUAAUACAUGCAGGUCGAGCGAACGGACGAGAAGCUUGCUUCUCUGAUGUUAGCGGCGGACGGGUGAGUAACACGUGGAUAACCUACCUAUAAGACUGGGAUAACUUCGGGAAACCGGAGCUAAUACCGGAUAAUAUUUUGAACCGCAUGGUUCAAAAGUGAAAGACGGUCUUGCUGUCACUUAUAGAUGGAUCCGCGCUGCAUUAGCUAGUUGGUAAGGUAACGGCUUACCAAGGCAACGAUGCAUAGCCGACCUGAGAGGGUGAUCGGCCACACUGGAACUGAGACACGGUCCAGACUCCUACGGGAGGCAGCAGUAGGGAAUCUUCCGCAAAGGGCGAAAGCCUGACGGAGCAACGCCGCGUGAGUGAUGAAGGUCUUCGGAUCGUAAAACUCUGUUAUUAGGGAAGAACAUAUGUGUAAGUAACUGUGCACAUCUUGACGGUACCUAAUCAGAAAGCCACGGCUAACUACGUG
rnacentral:rRNA from 1 species